UUUAUUUAUUUUAUUAUAAUUGUUUUUUGUUAGUUUAUUUUUUAAUAAAAGAAAUUUUAUUUAUUAUUUUGUCUUAGUAUAUUUUAUAGAAUUGAUUAUUUUUAUUAUAGUUUAAUAGUAAUGUAAUUGGAUCAUGAAAUAAUUUUUUAAUUAUCAAAAAGUAGAUUUAAUUUGUUGUACCUUUUGUAUCAGGGUUUAUUAAAUUUUUAGUAUUUAUUUACUAAUCUCGAUUUAGGUUGAUUUACAAAUAAAUUAAAGUUAAUGCGUCAUAAUUAUUUUUAAUUUAUUUGUAGAAAUGAAAUGUUAAUCGUUUCCUAAUAUAUCUAGUUUCUUAAGAAAAAAUUUAAUUUUUUAAAGUUAAUAGUUUUUAUUUACUUUUUUAUAUAGAAAUGUUAACUUAUUUAUUCUUUAGGGGAUAAGCUCUAGAGUUUUCCUAUAAUUUUAUUAAUUUUGAUUUAAUAGUAAGCUUUAAACCAGCUAUCCUUUUGAUUACGUUUUAGUUCAUUAUUUAUUAUUUUGAUUUUAUAAAUAUUUUAGGUUUUAUAUUAAGAUUAUUAAUUUAAUUUUUAAAUUAUUGUAAUAAUGAUAGAAUUAGUAUAUAUAUUUAUUGUUUAUAAUAUUUUAUUAUGUUAAUUUAUUAUAAGGAAUUAGGCAAAAUUGAUUUCCGCCUGUUUAUCAAAAACAU
rnacentral:rRNA from 1 species